rnacentral:rRNA from 1 species
ACGGGAGGCAGCAGUGGGGGAUAUUGCACAAUGGGGGAAACCCUGAUGCAGCGACGCCGCGUGAGUGAAGAAGUAUUUCGGUAUGUAAAGCUCAAUCCGCAGGGAAGAAAAUGACGGUACCUGCACCGAAGCCCCGGCUAACUACGUGCCAGCAGCCGCGGUAAUACGUAGGGGGCAAGCGUUAUCCGGAUUUACUGGGUGUAAAGGGAGCGUAGACGGAAUGGCAAGUCAGAAGUGAAAUUUACGGGCUUAACUCGUGAACUGCUUUUGAAACUGUCAAUCUAGAGUACCGGAGGGGUAAGCGGAAUUCCCAGUGUAGCGGUGAAAUGCGUAGAUAUUGGGAAGAACACCGGUGGCGAAGGCGGCUUACUGGACGGUAACUGACGUUGAGGCUCGAAAGCGUGGGGAGCAAACAGGAUUAGAUACCCUGGUA